UCCCUGGUGGCUCAGAGGUUAAAGCGUCUGCCUGCAACGCGGGAGACCCAGGUUUGAUCCCUGUGUUGGGAA
rnacentral:tRNA from 1 species